GUUUGAGAGUAGGGUAGAAGAAGGAGGAGAUAGAGAAACAAGGCAGAGAAGCACAUUUUAAAAAACAGACAGGAUGGCUAGGCCAUCACCAACCGACUUACCUUCCAUCUCUGUGGGUAGUUGCCCCAAAUCUUGAUAUUUUUUCCUCCCAAUUCCCCUUUAAAAAAAAAAAACACACACAUUGCAAAUCCAAGGGCACAAAACACCACCCCCUCCCACUUCCCUGAAGCCUCAAAUUUCCUCCCAUCUAUUUGAGGUUUACUCAGCACUCCCUGCAUUUCCAGCCCCAUAUUUUUCUGCUCUAGGACAUU